UACGUAGGGGGCAAGCGUUGUCCGGAAUCAUUGGGCGUAAAGAGCGCGUAGGCGGCCCUGUAAGUCCGCUGUGAAAGUCAAGGGCUCAACCCUUGAAUGCCGGUGGAUACUGCAGGGCUAGAGUCCGGAAGAGGCGAGUGGAAUUCCGUGGUGUAGCGGUGAAAUGCGCAGAUAUCAGGAGGAACACCGAUGGCGAAGGCAGCUCGCUGGGACGGUACUGACGCUGAGGCGCGAAAGCGUGGGGAGCAAACAGG
rnacentral:rRNA from 1 species